GGUAAAGAUGGAAGUCAAGGGCCAUCUGGAUCAGGUGGUGCAAAAGGAGAUAAGGGAUCCAGAGGACCUGUGGGGCAGGAGGGAGUUGCUGGUCUCGAUGGUGAGGAGGUAGAUUGAUUAGCUUGGUCAUGGAUUCAACUGUUUCCAUUUAACAUAAAAUUAAUAAAACCUAAAGUAAGAAAACUAGAGAUGCGUAGAGUACAGAAAGCACAGACAAUACAAGAGAAAGAAAGAAAAUCAAAGAAAAAUGAAAGACCUAGAAGAUCAUAACUGUUAGAGUAACUACAGGAAUAUGAGCCCAUGAAUCAGGACAAACUGAAAGAGCUUUGUUCUUGUCUUUAGGGUCCAACUGGACAGAAAGGAUUUCAAGGGCCAGCCGGCCAAAAGGGCAUAUCUGGUGUUAAAGGAAACACUGGACCUCCUGGGCAGAGAGGCCCAAAGGGGUCUGAGGGUGAAAGAGGAAACCAAGGCUCACAGGGACCGAAGGGGCCACAAGGGACACAGGUAUGUAGGAAGUAAUCCUAAGUAUAGUUUACUGGAAUACUGUAACACAACUGACUUCCAUACAGGGAUAUUAAUUCACAAAGAGCAAAUAUAAGGAAGACUGUGUAUCACCUCUGCCUUGUCUUUACUAUAUGUGCUUUUCCCAGGGAUACAGGGGUGCACCUGGAGAUAGAGGACAACAGGGGCACCCGGGACUCAAGGGUGAGGCAGGCACCAGGGGUUUAUCAGGCACUCCUGGGCCAUUUGGAGCUGGAGGCAAAACUGGGGCAGCAGGAACCAAAGGCCGGAAGGGGCUCCAGGGACUUGCUGGUCCUCCUGGUAAUAUGGGCCCUCCUGGACCAACUGGACCAUCACCAGCUGUACGUUUUACUUUACCUAGCAUUAACUUUCCAUUAUUAUACUUACCAUGUGCUAAAAUGUACACUAAAUGUUUGAUAGUGGUAUCACCUCGAUGUGUUUA
rnacentral:lncRNA from 1 species